CGGGUGCAAAUGAUACGUCAUAGGAGUGUUCCCAGAGCCAGUGAAGUUCCUGACUUGCUUAUUCAGAGUACAGAGGAGCAUAUUUUCAAUAAACAAAUGUUUCUCUAACAAAGGCCAGCCAACCUAAUUCUUCAGGCAUCGAAUCAAGUAAAAGAUUAUGGGUAUAGGGAUCAAUUCCAUAAACUUCUUGUUCUAUAACUUCAACUCCAAGCUGUUUUCUAGGU
rnacentral:misc_RNA from 1 species